rnacentral:rRNA from 1 species
CCUACGGGAGGCAGCAGUGGGGAAUAUUGCACAAUGGGGGAAACCCUGAUGCAGCGACGCCGCGUGAGUGAAGAAGGAUUUCGGUAGGUAAAGCUCUAUCAGCAGGGAAGAAGAAAGACGGUACCUGACUAAGAAGCACCGGCUAACUACGUGCCAGCAGCCGCGGUAAUAAGGCGGGGGCAAGUGUUAUCCGGAUUUACGGGGUGUAAGGGAGCGUAGACGGCUGUGCAAGUCUGAAGUGAAAGCCAAGGGCUCAACCCUGGGACUGCUUUGGAAACUGUGGAGCUAGAGUGCUGGAGAGGUAAGUGGCAUUCCUAGUGUAGCGGUGCACUGCGUAGAUAUUAGGAGGAACCCCAGUGGCGACUGCGGCUUACUGGACCGUAACUGCCGUUGAGGCUCGCACGCGUG